CAAUAUCAUAUCGUCAAGGAAGCGUUAGCACAAGCUCAUGCUUUUAUGGAUUCGUUAACCCAAAUCUUGCUUAAUUAUAUAGUAGCUUUGUUUUUGUUUUUUUUCUUGGUUAUUUUCUUGUAGGUUUCUUUUUGUAAAAUCUUAAUUUUAAUUUUAAUGAUAUUUACAUUAUAAGUAAGAAAAAAAAGAUAAAUGAUGAUGUGGCGGAUGAC
rnacentral:lncRNA from 1 species